GACGAACCGUACGAACGUUAUUCGGAAUUACUGGGCUUAAAGGGUGCGUAGGCUGUGCGGAAAGUUGGGCGUGAAAUACCUCAGCUUAACUGAGGAACUGCGUUCAAAACUACCGUGCUUGAGGGAGACAGAGGUAAGCGGAACUGAGGGUGGAGCGGUGAAAUGCGUUGAUAUCCUCAGGAACACCGGUGGCGAAAGCGGCUUACUGGGUCUCUUCUGACGCUGAUGCAUGAAAGCUAGGGUAGCAAACGGG
rnacentral:rRNA from 1 species